rnacentral:rRNA from 1 species
UUUUACAAUGGAGAGUUUGAUCCUGGCUCAGGAUGAACGCUAGCUACAGGCUUAACACAUGCAAGUCGAGGGGAAACGACAUCGAAAGCUUGCUUUUGAUGGGCGUCGACCGGCGCACGGGUG